CGUUCUCCAAUUUGGGCUACUGUGACUCUCUAUGCAUGCUUCAUUCCUCAAUUAGGGUUUUUCUUCUUCUUCCAGAUCAACACCACCAUGAACUUGAACAUCUUCAAGAAGAAAACCUCAUCCAAAGGAUAGCUAAUCAUGUCUCUUGUGCUCAUUGAAGAAGUUGAUAAUGUGGCUGAAGGGGAUCAUAUCAAGGUGGAUAAUGUGAACAAAAAUCAUUGGGUUCAGGUACAAUUAAAGGGUGACCAUCCAAUCCUACGAACUGCUCACCAAUGGAGAUAUCAUCGUGACUCAGAUGUAGUGGGGUGGGAGACCUCUUACAAGGGGCGAAUGACUCAAUAUCAAAAAGAACUAGAAGGACAAAAUUGCACAAAAGAACUAGACUCAUUUUGGUGCAUAAAGGAGGGUGGGGGAUUAAUUGAGGGGGUGUUAAAACUAAUGCCCUUUUAUUAUUCUCAUCAUUUCUAAAUUAAAAUCUCAAAUUUACCUCAAUCUCAACAAUGAAAGAUCUUGAAACCCAUAAAUAGAAGAAACUCAACUCCGUCUUACUUAUUUUCUCUCCCUUCGGUUGUUCCCAUCUCCCUCUCCUUUGUUCCCUUUCUUUGUGGGCUUCUAAAACCAAGAAACUAACUCUCCCUCUCACCUUCUCUAGAAAUCCCUAGAAACAAGAUUCAAUCAAUAAAUUGAUAUCGGAUGACAAUAGAGAUGUUGAGACUGCCUCAACAACAAUGAGUUUUGUGCACAUU